UACGAAGGGGGCUAGCGUUGUUCGGAAUUACUGGGCGUAAAGGGCGUGUAGGCGGCCCGUUAAGACAGGUGUGAAAUUCCUGGGCUCAACCCAGGACGUGCGCCUGUGACUGGCGGGCUUGAGUCCGGGAGAGGAUGGUGGAACUCCCAGUGUAGAGGUGAAAUUCGUAGAUAUUGGGAAGAACACCCGUGGCGAAGGCGGCCAUCUGGACCGGUACUGACGCUGAGGAGCGAAAGCCAGGGGAGCAAACGGG
rnacentral:rRNA from 1 species